rnacentral:rRNA from 1 species
AUUGAACGCUGGCGGCAGGCUUAACACAUGCAAGUCGAACGAUGAUUAUCUAGCUUGCUAGAUAUGAUUAGUGGCGGACGGGUGAGUAACAUUUAGGAAUCUGCCUAGUAGUGGGGGAUAGCUCGGGGAAACUCGAAUUAAUACCGCAUACGACCUACGGGUGAAAGGGGGCGCAAGCUCUUGCUAUUAGAUGAGCCUAAAUCAGAUUAGCUAGUUGGUGGGGUAAAGGCCCACCAAGGCGACGAUCUGUAACUGGUCUGAGAGGAUGAUCAGUCACACCGGAACUGAGACACGGUCCGGACUCCUACGGGAGGCAGCAGUGGGGAAUAUUGGACAAUGGGGGCAACCCUGAUCCAGCCAUGCCGCGUGUGUGAAGAAGGCCUUUUGGUUGUAAAGCACUUUAAGCAGGGAGGAGAGGCUAAUGGUUAAUACCCAUUAGAUUAGACGUUACCUGCAGAAUAAGCACCGGCUAACUCUGUGCCAGCAGCCGCGGUAAUACAGAGGGUGCGAGCGUUAAUCGGAAUUACUGGGCGUAAAGCGAGUGUAGGUGGCUCAUUAAGUCACAUGUGAAAUCCCCGGGCUUAACCUGGGAACUGCAUGUGAUACUGGUGGUGCUAGAAUAUGUGAGAGGGAAGUAGAAUUCCAGGUGUAGCGGUGAAGUGCGUAGAGAUCUGGAGGAAUACCGAUGGCGAAGGCAGCUUCCUGGCAUAAUAUUGACACUGAGAUUCGAAAGCGUGGGUAGCAAACAGGAUUAGAUACCCUGGUAGUCCACGCCGUAAACGAUGUCUACUAGCCGUUGGGGUCCUUGAGACUUUAGUGGCGCAGUUAACGCGAUAAGUAGACCGCCUGGGGAGUACGGCCGCAAGGUUAAAACUCAAAUGAAUUGACGGGGGCCCGCACAAGCGGUGGAGCAUGUGGUUUAAUUCGAUGCAACGCGAAGAACCUUACCUGGUCUUGACAUAGUGAGAAUCCUGCAGAGAUGCGGGAGUGCCUUCGGGAAUUCACAUACAGGUGCUGCAUGGCUGUCGUCAGCUCGUGUCGUGAGAUGUUGGGUUAAGUCCCGCAACGAGCGCAACCCUUUUCCUUAUUUGCCAGCGGGUUAAGCCGGGAACUUUAAGGAUACUGCCAGUGACAAACUGGAGGAAGGCGGGGACGACGUCAAGUCAUCAUGGCCCUUACGACCAGGGCUACACACGUGCUACAAUGGUAGGUACAGAGGGUUGCUACACAGCGAUGUGAUGCUAAUCUCAAAAAGCCUAUCGUAGUCCGGAUUGGGGUCUGCAACUCGACUCCAUGAAGUCGGAAUCGCUAGUAAUCGCAGAUCAGAAUGCUGCGGUGAAUACGUUCCCGGGCCU